CCUACGGGCGGCAGCAGUGAGGAAUAUAGGUCAAUGGUCGGGAGACUGAACCAGCCAAGCCGCGUGAGGGAUGAAGGUACAGAGUAUCGUAAACCUCUUUUGUCAGGGAACAAAGGCGGGGACGCGUCCCCGGAUGAGUGUACCUGAAGAAAAAGCAUCGGCUAACUCCGUGCCAGCAGCCGCGGUAAUACGGAGGAUGAGAACGUUAUCCGGGUUUAUUGGGUUUAAAGGGUGCGCAGGCGGUCUGUUAGGUGAGCGGUAAAAGCCCGGGGCUCAACCCCGGCCCGCCGUUGAAACUGGCAGUCUCGAGUGGGAGAGAAGUAUGCGGAAUGCGCGGUGUAGCGGUGAAAUGCAUAGAUAUCGCGCAGAACUCCGAUUGCGAAGGCAGCAUGCCGGCUCCACACUGACGCUGAGGCACGAAAGCGUGGGUAUCGAACAGGAUUAGAUACCCUGGUAGUC
rnacentral:rRNA from 1 species